rnacentral:rRNA from 1 species
GUAAGGUUGGAAAUCGUAUGGAGGCAACUCUGACGAUAUAUCAUUCAAAUUUCUGCCCUAUCAACUUUGGAUGGUAGUAUAGAGGACUACCAUGGUGAUAACGGGUAACGGAGAAUUAGGGUUCGAUUCCGGAGAGGGAGCCUGAGAAAUGGCUACCACUUCUAAGGAGGGCAGCAGGCGCGCAAAUUACCCAAUCCUAAUACUGGGAGGUAGUGACAAUAAAUAACAAUGCUGGUGCUCUGGUAAUUGGAAUGAGAACAAUUUAAACCCCUUAACGAGUAACCAUCAGAGGGCAAGUCUGGUGCCAGCAGCCGCGGUAAUUCCAGCUCUGAUAGCGUAUAUUAAAGUUGUUGCAGUUUAAAAAGCUCGUAGUUGGAUUUUUAGAGUGCAUUAAUAUGGUACUGUAU